UACGUAGGUGGCAAGCGUUGUCCGGAUUUACUGGGCGUAAAGAGCGCGCAGGCGGUCGUUCAAGUCGCGUGUGAAAGCCCCCGGCUCAACUGGGGAGGGUCACGCGAUACUGAUCGACUCGAAGGCAGGAGAGGGUAGUGGAAUUCCCGGUGUAGUGGUGAAAUGCGUAGAUAUCGGGAGGAACACCGGUGGCGAAGGCGGCGACCUGGGUCGAUACUGACGCUGAUGCGCGAAAGCGUGGGGAGCAAACAGG
rnacentral:rRNA from 1 species